GAUGAACGCUGGCGGCGUGCCUAAUACAUGCAAGUCGAGCGAACAGACGAGGAGCUUGCUCCUCUGACGUUAGCGGCGGACGGGUGAGUAACACGUGGAUCACCUCCCUAUAAGACUGGGAUAACUUCGGGAAACCGGCGCUAAUCCCGGAUAAUAUAUUGAACCGCAUGGUUCAAUAGUGAAAGACGGUUUUGCUGUCACUUAUCGAUGGAUCCGCGCCGCAUUAGCUAGUUGGUAAGGUAACGGCUUACCAAGGCAACGAUGCGUCGCCGACCUGAGAGGAGGAUCGGCCACACUGGAACGGAGACACGGUCCAGACUCCUACGGGAGGCAGCAGUAGGGAAUCGUCCGCAAUGGGCGAAAGCCUGACGGAGCAACGCCGCGUGAGUGAUGAAGGUCUUCGGAUCGUAAAACUCUGUUAUUAGGGAAGAACAAAUGUGUAAGUAACUAUGCACGUCUUGACGGUACCUAAUCAGAAAGCCACGGCUAACUACGUG
rnacentral:rRNA from 1 species